rnacentral:snoRNA from 12 species
GGUGAACGGUGUGCGUGGUGUCCAUCUGCGUCUAGUGCUGUCUCCAUUCUGUGUCUUACAGGCUGUGAGACAGCUCUCAUGCCACACUCACAGCCACAGAGCCAAUGGAGAUCAUAGUACUGGCCCAGUGACGUCUAAACGACCAUCCACCACUGGCCAGCCUCCAUAGUCUCCUACAAAA